rnacentral:rRNA from 1 species
UGGCGGCGUGGAUUAGGCAUGCAAGUCGAACGGGACUUUAUGUUGUAGCAAUACUUUAUAAAGUCUAGUGGCGUAAGGGUGAGUAACACGUGGGUAACGUACCCGAUAGUUUUGGGAUAACGUUCCGAAAGGGACGCUAAUACCGGAUGUGAUGUUAAAACGCUGGUUUUAACAAGAAAGGUGGGGACCGCAAGGCCUGCCGCUAACGGAACGGCCCGCGACCUAUUAGCUAGUUGGUGGGGUAAAGGCCUACCAAGGCGAGGAUGGGUAGCCGAACUGAGAGGUUGACCCGGCCACACUGGGACUGAGACACUGCCCAGACUUCUACGGAAGGCUGCAGUCGAGAAUCAUUCACAAUGGACGAAAGUCUGAUGAUGCGACGCCGCGUGCCGCGAUGAAGGUCUUCGGAUUGUAAAGCGCUUUGAACAGGGAAGAAUGCCGCGUAUUUAAUAGAUAACGCGGAGGGACAGUACCUGACAAACAAGCCCCGGCUAAUUUCGUGCCAGCCGCCGC